rnacentral:rRNA from 1 species
CGUGAGCGGCGGACGGGUGGGUAACGCGUGGGUAACCUGCCUCAUACAGGGGAUAACAGUUGGAAACGGCUGCUAAUACCGCAUAAGCGCACAGUACCGCAUGGUACGGUGUGAAAAACUCCGGUGGUAUGAGAUGGACCCGCGUCUGAUUAGGUAGUUGGUGGGGUAACGGCCUACCAAGCCGACGAUCAGUAGCCGACCUGAGAGGGUGACCGGCCACAUUGGGACUGAGACACGGCCCAA